GUUUUGUGCGCCGUUAGGGCCAGCACCCUUCUGUUCGCGCUGUAGGCGGUCUCAUCACCAUCGCUGGCGUCCUGUCAUAAGAAGCGUGUUGCGGUCGAACUGCUGUGGAAGGGUAUUCUUCUUGUCACAAGCAUCCAUAAAACAGAGAAGCCGGACUCGGAGGCACACACAUACGGGUUCCUUUAUUGCAGUACUGACUGACUCGCCUGCUGGGGAGCCAUACAGGAAAGAAAGGAUCUAACAGGUGCUUGGUAACUACAUAUCACAUGGCAACGGGUUAGCUACAGCAUGCUGCGUUCCUACGUUCCAGCUCUAUGGCUGCAAGAGCACGCUGGACGCCGGCGCGCACAGAUGAAGCCAACGUCCUUGAGCACGCUCGUUCGUCUCACGUGCAUGAAGCAGGUGGGUCAAGCUGCCGUUAAAUCAGCGUCAAACAGCGGAGGCUGCCAUCUUGUGAAACGCAGUUGCCAGACCCGGAAACCCGAAGUUCGCCCGUUACGGCGGCACAAAACACCGCUGUUGUCUUUUUGUCAUAUCUGCUUAAACACACGCAUUUUUUGAAAAAUGAUGCAGUAAACGGGUAAAAAUUAGUAAUAACUAA